rnacentral:rRNA from 1 species
AUGAACGCUGACAGAAUGCUUAACACAUGCAAGUCAACUUGAACUUCGGUUUGGGUGGCGGACGGGUGAGUAACGCGUAAAGAACUUGCCUCACAGCUAGGGACAACAUUUGGAAACGAAUGCUAAUACCUGAUAUUAUGAUUUUAGGGCAUCCUAGAAUUAUGAAAGCUAUAUGCGCUGUGAGAGAGCUUUGCGUCCCAUUAGCUAGUUGGAGAGGUAACGGCUCACCAAGGCGAUGAUGGGUAGCCGGCCUGAGAGGGUGAACGGCCACAAGGGGACUGAGACACGGCCCUUACUCCUACGGGAGGCAGCAGUGGGGAAUAUUGGACAAUGGACCAAGAGUCUGAUCCAGCAAUUCUGUGUGCACGAUGAAGUUUUUCGGAAUGUAAAGUGCUUUCAGUUGGGAAGAAAAAAAUGACGGUACCAACAGAAGAAGUGACGGCUAAAUACGU